CAAGGCUGCAGUUGCAGCUGACUUCCCAAGGCUGCAAGACGUGGUGGUGACACAGCCUUGUGCUUCUGCAUUGGUGCUCAUCCCACGUUUCCUUUCUCUGUCUCGCAGGUCAGCUCCUGCUGGAAGCAGAUGGUAUCCCAGUGUGAAUGAAGGUCAGUGCAGGAGCAGCUGCUGAUGGGAGGAAGGAAGUCCAUGCUGAAGAGCUCUGAAGCAUCGGCAGUUCUGUGGUCUCCAAGAGUGGAGCUGUCACUUCUGAUCCCUCAGCCCCAGUUAUGCACAACAGCCACAUCCAGAUACACGUCUGGUACCUCUGAACUAGCUAAUGCUGUAGGAUGGAAUGUUGUUUCUGCACUGGCUAUCAAAUGUGGGAUUGCUCUGAAGCAGUACAGCACCAUGUGUUUAGUAAUUUGCCCUUAGAAACAGUUUGAAAAAGUAGAAAGACUUUAUUAGUAUUAGUAAAAAGAAGUUAUUUCAUAACAUAUUUGAGAAAUACAGUUGUUCAAUCACGUGAUCAAUUCUCACUUACAGAACUUUAAUAGUUACAAAUUGCAUGGGUUUAGUAUUAAGGACCAGAAAGCAUGUUGUAAGGCCAUUCUGUUUGGCUAGGAGAAGCUCAGCAAAAGAAAAACAGACUCCAAAGAAGCCAGGGCCUCCACACAAGGCCAGAGUGACUCACUCUGUGGGCAGGUUGGGAUGCAACAGGCAGGCAUCAAGAGACUCCCCUCUGUCCUCCUUCCAAACUUCUCUCUCUUCAGGGAUGAGCAGGUGUCCAGAAAUAGUGGCCAAGUGUUGAUAAGCAGCUGUCAGACGUUCAAUAAUUAGCAGUAUACCUGCUGAGCUAGCAACAAUUGGUGUUUAGCCAGUCACACACACACAC